rnacentral:rRNA from 1 species
GUUUUCAAAAAUUUAGUUAAUACUAAUUCACGAAGGGCGUGGAGCUAAUUAAACUGUAACACUGGUUACUAAAUUAUGUGUAGCAACAUGCAAAGAAUAAGUAUAAUUAGUGGUGAUAUGCCAAUCAACAUGCCAGAUAUCUUGAUCCGCAAGAAAAAUAUUCAGUAUUUAACUAAACUAGAAAUGGCUAGGUUUCUAGUUAACAUUAAAAUUAAUGUCCAGAGCCUCAGUUUUUGUAAAUAUUACUGUUAUUAUUUUUUUAUAACUCUAUAUUAAUAGUUUAUGAAUCAUACUGCGGCGUCUUACUCACUUGUUAGGAAGUUUGCUAAUGAGAAUAUUAGUAUUAUCAGCAGAUUCUAAGAAGGAACUCGGCAAAUUUUUGCUCAACUGUUUAACAAAAACAUAGCUAAAUGAUAUUGCGUUUGGUUUUUUCUGCUCCAUGAGUAACUUAGAUAGCCGCAGUA